AUUGAACGCUGGCGGCAGGCCUAACACAUGCACGUCGAACGGAGUGGCGGACGGGUGAGUAAUGUAUGGGAAACUGCCUGAUGGAGGGGGAUAACUACUGGAAACGGUAGCUAAUACCGCAUACUAUCAGCUGACCAUCGAUCGGAUUAGAUAGUUGGGGGGGUAAAGGCAGACCAAGGCAACGAUCCGUAACUGGUCUGAGAGGAUGAUCAGGCACACGGGAACUGAGACACGGUCCAGACUCCUACGGGAGGCAGCAGUGGGGAAUAUUGGACAAUGGGCGAAAGCCUGAUCCAGCCAUGCCGCUUGUGUGAAGAAGGUCUUCGGAUUGUAAAGCACUUUAAGUUGGGAGGCGUUACCAACAGAAUAAGCACCGGCUAACUUCGUGCCAGCCGCCGCGGUAAUAC
rnacentral:rRNA from 1 species